rnacentral:lncRNA from 10 species
GUUCGUCCGGGACCCGCCUCAAGCCUCGCAGCCUUUCACCCAGUUUCCUCCCGAUUCUUGCUGGGACAACAAAAUUGGGAAGCGGUUCUCGAAACAUACUGUCAAGGCGUAGUUGCAUUUGGUCGCCCAACUCACAUUGAAGCCUAAGACCCAGCUGAUUUCUCUUCAUUUCUGCAAAGUUACUGUACCAUGGCAGGCCAACGAACAUGUCAAAGGAGGAGCAGCAGAGCUGGCCCCGGGGUAAGGAAGCUUCCACAGCUUUAUGUUCACUUACAAAGGUUAUAUUUCUCUUGGAAUUUCAGGUAAUCAGGGCUCCCAGGUAGAGCUGGCUUUGUCACUGAAACACCAAGGGUUUGGUCUAGGUCUUAAUGCUCGCUGCACAGAUGGCCAAUCACUGAGAUGAGUAUUGCCAAGGAAGAAAGCUUUAAUAGGGUGCUGCAGCCGAGGAGAUGGGAGAUCAGUCUCAAAUCCAUCUCCCUGACUGACUAAAAUUAGGGUUUUAUAUAGCAAGGAAGAAAUGUAACCAUGUGUGGGAAAACAGAAAUUAGGGAGUGGUGGUAAGAAGGAGG